UCUGCACCUAUUAUUUGAUCCGAAAAGCGUAAGUUUUUCUAACCCGAAUCCGGCUAGAGGAGGGCUACAGAUCGAGUAAUGCGUGUAGAGUACACGAGCGGCGGACGGCUGAGUAACACGUAGGAACGUACCCCAAACUGAGGGAUAAGCACCAGAAAUGGUGUCUAAUACCGCAUGUGCUCUAAGGAGUAAAGCUUCGGCGGUUUGGGAACGGCCUGCGCAUGAUUAGCUUGUUGGUGAGGUAAUAGCUCACCAAGGCGACGAUCAUUAGCUGGUCUGAGAGGAUGAUCAGCCAGACUGGGACUGAGAACGGCCCAGACUCCUACGGGAGGCAGCAGUAGGGAAUUUUCCACAAUGGGGGCAACCCUGAUGGAGCAACGCCGCGUGCAGGAUGAAGGCUCUAGGGUCGUAAACUGCUUUUAUAUGUGAAGAUUAUGACGGUAGCAUAUGAAUAAGGAUCGGCUAACUCCGUGCCAGCAGCCGCGGUCAUACGGGGGAUCCAAGCGUUAUCCGGAAUUACUGGGCGUAAAGAGUUGCGUAGGCGGCAUAGUAAGCGAGUAGUGAAAUGACGUGGCUCAACCAUGUGUCCAUUACUUGAACUGCUAAGCUAGAACAUGAGAGAGGUGGCUGGAAUUCCCUGUGUAGGAGUGAAAUCCGUAGAUAUAGGGAGGAACACCGAUGGCGUAGGCAGGCCACUGGCUCAUUGUUGACGCUCAGGCACGAAAGCGUGGGGAGCGACCGGGAUUAGAUACCCCGUUAGUCCACGCCGUAANCGAUGGAUGCUAGCUGUUAGACGUAUCGACCCGUCUAGUAGCGAAGCUAACGCGUUAAGCAUCCCGCCUGUGGAGUACGAGCGCAAGCUUAAAACAUAAAGGAAUUGACGGGGACCC
rnacentral:rRNA from 1 species